rnacentral:rRNA from 1 species
CUUCUUAAACCGUUUGGUCGCCAAACCACUGUGAACAGCUUAGACUUCGGUCUUUGCAAUUGCUUGGGUGUCGAAAGGCGCCCAAUCUUUAAAACUUUUAUAUUUGUUCUGAAACAAUGAAAAUUUAAAACUUUCAACAACGGAUCUCUUGGUUCUCGUAUCGAUGAAGAACGCAGCAAAGCGCGAUAGGUAAUGCGAAUUGCAGACGUGAGUCAUUGAAUUUUUGAACGCAUAUUGCGCUAUUAGUUUGUCUAAUAGCAUGCUUGUUGGAGUGAUAAUCUUCCUCUCAACCAUUUUUGGUAUGAGGUCUUGCUCCUUUUAGGAGUUAAAAUCAUGGAAGUGCACACGUUAAUUAACUCUGUGCAGUUAUACACUUUUCAUCCUCCAAUCAAGCAAGGUUACCCGCUGAACUUAAGCAUAUCAAUAAGCGGAGGAA